CGCAAAGGAGUGGCUGGAGUUUUAAAGGUUUCACGUAUGCUUUCCAGAUUUGGGUAUAUGAAUUAAUUCCUAGAAUGGCGGACCUGAAUUACUGCAAGGUUGUUGAUCCGACCGCUGUCCCGCGUAUUUUGCGAUGGAGAACUACUACGUCUGUUCCAGAGAUGAGAAAGUUGAACAAUUAUUUUUUCCAGAGCAAAGAGUCAGUUCAGUUGCGGGCGCUAUGUCCGAGUGAAGAGGAAAUGAGACAGCCAUAUUGGAGUUGGCCACAGGAUCGCCCUGCUGUUGUCUCGGCAGAGCCAAUUCCUUCU